rnacentral:rRNA from 1 species
CGGUGAAACUCAAAGGAAUUGACGGGGGCCCGCACAAGCGGAGGAACAUGUGGUUUAAUUCGAUGAUACGCGAGGAACCUUACCCGGGCUUAAAUUAUGCAUGAAUCAUUUGGAGACAGAUGAGCCGCAAGGCAUGUAUGAAGGUGCUGCAUGGUUGUCGUCAGCUCGUGCCGUGAGGUGUCGGCUUAAGUGCCAUAACGAGCGCAACCCUUUCUGCCA